AUUGAACGCUGGCGGCAGGCCUAACCCAUGCAAGUCGAGCGCGCGGCGGACGGGUGAGUAAUGUCUGGGAAACUGCCUGAUGGAGGGGGAUAACUACUGGAACCGGUAGCUAAUUCCGCAUACCAUCAGAUGUGCCCAGAUGGGAUUGGCUAGUAGGUGGGGUAACGGCUCACCUAGGCGACGCUCCCUAGCUGGUCUGAGCGGAUGACCAGCCACACUGGAACGGAGAAACGGUCCAGACGCCGACGGGAGGAAGCAGUGGGGAAUAUUGCACAAGGGGAGCAAGCCUGAGGCAGCCAGGCCGCGUGUGUGAAGAAGGCCUUCGGGUUGUAAAGCACUUUCAGCGGGGAGGCGUUACCCGCAGAAGAAGCACCGGCUAACUCCGUGCCAGCAGCCGCGGUAAUUC
rnacentral:rRNA from 1 species